CGCACAUUGCGCCCUCUAGUAUUCUAGGGGGCAUGCCUGUUCGAGCGUCAUUUCAAACCCUCAAGCCCAGCUGCUUGGUGUUAGGGACCGCUGUAAAAAGCGCCCCGUAAAGAAAUUGGCGGAGUUAGCCACGACUCUCAGCGUAGUACUUUAUCUCGCUCUAGGGGACUGGCGGCGCCUGCCACAAGCCUAUUUCACACCGUUUGACCUCGGAUCAGGUAGGAAUACCCGCUGAACUUAA
rnacentral:misc_RNA from 1 species